rnacentral:tRNA from 1 species
GUCGCGGUGGCAGAGUGGCCGAACGCACCCGCCUGCAGAGCGGGAGAGCGCCGGUUCGAAUCCGGCCCGCGACU